GAUGAACGCUGGCGGCGUGCCUAAUACAUGCAAGUCGAGCGAACGGACGAGGAGCUUGCUCCUUCGACGUUAGCGGCGGACGGGUGAGUAACACGUAGGUAACCUACCUAUAAGACUGGGAUAACUUCGGGAAACCGGAGCUAAUACCGGAUAAUAUUUCGAACCGCAUGGUUCGAUAGUGAAAGAUGGCUUUGCUAUCACUUAUAGAUGGACCUGCGCCGUAUUAGCUAGUUGGUAAGGUAACGGCCUACCAAGGCAACGAUACGUAGCCGACCUGAGAGGGUGAUCGGCCACACUGGAACUGAGACACGGUCCAGACUCCUACGGGAGGCAGCAGUAGGGAAUCUUCCGCAAUGGGCGAAAGCCUGACGGAGCAACGCCGCGUGAGUGAUGAAGGUCUUCGGAUCGUAAAACUCUGUUAUUAGGGAAGAACAAACGUGUAAGUAACUGUGCACGUCUUGACGGUACCUAAUCAGAAAGCCACGGCUAACUACGUG
rnacentral:rRNA from 1 species